rnacentral:rRNA from 1 species
GAUCAUGGCUCAGGAUGAACGCUAGCUACAGGCUUAACACAUGCAAGUCGAGGGGAAACGACAUCGAAAGCUUGCUUUUGAUGGGCGUCGACCGGCGCACGGGUGAGUAACGCGUAUCCAACCUGCCCAUCACUUGGGAAUAACCUUGCGAAAGUAAGACUAAUGCCCAAUGAUAUCCCACGAAGGCAUCUAGAGUGGAUAAGUAUUUAGUCGGUGAGUGGAGGUGGGGAUGCGU